GUGCCAGCCGCCGCGGUAAUACGUAGGUCCCGAGCGUUGUCCGGAUUUAUUGGGCGUAAAGCGAGCGCAGGCGGUUAGAUAAGUCUGAAGUUAAAGGCUGUGGCUUAACCAUAGUACGCUUUGGAAACUGUUUAACUUGAGUGCAAGAGGGGAGAGUGGAAUUCCAUGUGUAGCGGUGAAAUGCGUAGAUAUAUGGAGGAACACCGGUGGCGAAAGCGGCUCUCUGGCUUGUAACUGACGCUGAGGCUCGAAAG
rnacentral:rRNA from 1 species